GGAAGGGUGGCCGAGUGGCUUAAGGCGCACGCUUGGAAAGCGUGUUACCGUAAGGUAUCCAGGGUUCGAAUCCCUGCCCUUCCGCCU
rnacentral:tRNA from 1 species